UUGGAGGGCAAGUCUGGUGCCAGCAGCCGCGGUAAUUCCAGCUCCAAUAGCGUAUAUUAAAGUUGUUGCAGUUAAAAAGCUCGUAGUUGAAUUUCGGGGUUAGUAGGUUGGUCAUGCCUCCGGUAUGUACUGGUCUCACUGAUUCCUCCUUCCUGAUGAACCGUAAUGCCAUUAAUUUGGUGUUGCGGGGAAUUUGGACUGUUACUUUGAAAAAAUUAGAGUGUUUAAAGCAAGCUAACGCUUGAAUACAUUAGCAUGGAAUAAUGAAAUAGGACGUUCGAUCCUAUUUUGUUGGUUUCUAGGAUUGACGUAAUGAUUAAUAGGGAUAGUUGGGGGCAUUAGUAUUCAAUUGUCAGAGGUGAAAUUCUUGGAUUUAUUGAAGACUAACUACUGCGAAAGCAUUUGCCAAGGAUGUUUUCAUUAAUCAAGAACGAAAGUUAGGGGAUCGAAGACGAUCAGAUACCGUCGUAGUCUUAACCAUAAACUAUGCCGACUAGGGAUCGGAUGAUGUUAAUUUUUUAAUGACUCAUUCGGCGCCUUACGGGAAACCAAAGUGUUUGGGUUC
rnacentral:rRNA from 1 species